ensembl:lncRNA
AAUAGUAACUUUUAAAUGCUUUAGUUGAAAGAAGAGUAUACACUUCUUUCUAUACACUAGAAAUACACAAGUGUAUACACUAGAAAUUAUCUCUAAAUACAGCUAGAAAAUGCAAGUUAUUAAUGCACAAGAUUCAGAUUUAGGAACAAGCAGAGUCCACUUCACGAUCUAAGAAGUACAGCACUUGGAAAUGAACAGCUUUAGAAAAUAAGCUGCCAAGCUUUAUGUUUUAACAAAUUUUUAAGGCAAUCUACUUGGUAAAUAUGAUUUAUAAAUACUAAAUAUUUUAUAAAAGUACAUGUUGAAAUCAUAAAACUUUCUAAAUGAAUUGUCUUUCAAAAUACUUUCACUAAUCAAGAAAGUAUGUAGGCUUUCAAUACUUACAAUAGAAAAAAAAAAUAUUUUGAGACAUAUUUGGCUAGUCCUUUAAAUUUGAUGGACCAAAGAAUGGCUCUUAAUACAGAAUGAGAAGUAAAGCACCUGGGUAACAUUCCUUAUUAGUGCCAGCCUCUACUUCAUCUUAAUCCUUUCAAUACCAUAGCUCAUUGUCUUGAAGUUUAAAAACAUUCACUGCAGUUUUAUUCAAGGCAGUGCUAGUGGCUUAGUGCAAUGAGAGCUGUAUUGUUGGUUGUUUUUUGUUUUUAAUAGCAUGAAAUUGAACUUUUUUUUUUUCCCCUGAAAAACAAUUAAAAAGAGGAUAUAAGGGAUUAUUUCUUCCUUUUCUUAAUUGUUAAAAUCAAAUACAUUUUAUCUGGAAUGGAAAUCAGUUUGCUUAAAAACUAAGGCAUGUCAUUCUUAAAAAAAAGGUAAUCUUUUGAUUCAGCUGGGAAGACAGAUUGCUCAGAUGGUCUGAGAAAUACCCGUCUUUGGAGAUAUUCAAAACUCAAUUGGAUGAGAGCUGGAAUGACUUAAUUAACUGGGAUGUUAACCCUGGUUGGAGUAUGGGCUUGACUAGAUGACUUGUAGGCUAAGUUGUUAUGUUACUGUAUGGCUAAAAAAAGGAAUAGAAAUUUUUAAGGAAAAAACAACUUUUUCAUGAGCAAGAUAGUACUGACAACCUGAAUGUACAGAGAACUUAGUAUUAUAUAUAUACUUAGUAUUUUAUGAAUUUGAUAAGUGAGUGAGAUAUCUAUGUAUAGAUUAUUGUGAUCUUUAGAUGUGGAAUUACAGUAGAUGCAAAACUGGGCUCAAAGGAAAGAAAAGAUGUUAGUAUAAAAAAAACUGAAGACUAUGUUAAAUACCCUGUGCGUCUGUAUAACAGUAGUUAAUGUUGAAAGCAAGCAUUAGGGACCAUUUAUGUCUGUUUGAAAAAAAUCUAUGUGAGCCUAAGAAGUCCACCAUAUGAUCAGAAAAGUGGUAUCAAAUGUUUGGAAGAAUUUGUAUCUGCUGGAAGAAAUAGCUCUCAUCAUGCAAAAUGGCACGUGUAUUUUGGGCUGUUUCAGACUUUGGAUUUCCAUGAGAAAAGAAAAUGACAAAAGUGGUUUCUACUGACCAGGGAAGAAGAGUUAAUGCUCCAAAAAUAAACUUUUCUGAUUCAGUUUUUAUUGAGCACUGGAACAGUCUCCCCAGAAGUAUGGUCACUGUACCAAGCCUAUUGAAACUCAAGAAGCGUUUGGACAACAAUAGACAGUUUCAUUUUUAUUUAGUCCUUUGUGGAGCCAAGAGUUGGACAUAAUGACCCUUGUCCCUUCAAACUCUAGAUAUUCUGCAGCAUUUAAGAAAUAUAUUCAAUUUUUUUUAAUUUUUUAACUUGCCUAUGAUUUAAUAAUGAUAUCUCCCAGGGCAAGAGAGAGACAUCUAGAUGAACAUAUAAGUGCAUCUUUCUCCUGUUAGUUCAGUUGCCAGCAAUGAAUACAAAACACCAUUAAACUUCUAGGUUAGGUUGACUCGACCUUCAAAAUCUUUUCAAACCUAAAUGUUUCUAUGUCUUUAUACUAUGUCUUUAUAAUUCUAUGGUGCAAUUGCAGAGAUAUGUACCAUCAUCAAAAAACUCAACCAAGGAAUUUAUGUAAAGGCACAUAAGAACAUAAAAAGAAGUUAAUGCUUUUCAUAUCUUUUCUAUU